UGGCUCAGUUGGUAGAGCAUGGUGUUUGCAAUGCCAGGGUUGUUGUGGGUUCGAUUCCCAC
rnacentral:tRNA from 1 species